rnacentral:rRNA from 1 species
AGUGAACGCUGGCGGUAGGCCUAACACAUGCAAGUCGAACGGCAGCACAGUAAGAGCUUGCUCUUACGGGUGGCGAGUGGCGGACGGGUGAGGAAUACAUCGGAAUCUACUUUUUCGUGGGGGAUAACGUAGGGAAACUUACGCUAAUACCGCAUACGACCUACGGGUGAAAGCAGGGGAUCUUCGGACCUUGCGCGAUUGAAUGAGCCGAUGUCGGAUUAGCUAGUUGGCGGGGUAAAGGCCCACCAAGGCGACGAUCCGUAGCUGGUCUGAGAGGAUGAUCAGCCACACUGGAACUGAGACACGGUCCAGACUCCUACGGGAGGCAGCAGUGGGGAAUAUUGGACAAUGGGCGCAAGCCUGAUCCAGCCAGACCGCGUGGGUGAAGAAGGCCUUCGGGUUGUAAAGCCCUUUUGUUGGGAAAGAAAAGCAGCCGGUUAAUACCCAGCUGUUCUGACGGUACCCAAAGAAUAAGCACCGGCUAACUUCGUG